UAUCAAUAAGCGGAGGAAAAGAAACCAACAGGGAUUGCCCUAGUAACGGCGAGUGAAGCGGCAACAGCUCAAAUUUGAAAUCUGGCUCUCGGGCCCGAGUUGUAAUUUGUAGAGGAUACUUUUGAUGCGGUGCCUUCCGAGUUCCCUGGAACGGGACGCCAUAGAGGGUGAGAGCCCCGUCUGGUUGGAUGCCAAAUCUCUGUAAAGUUCCUUCAACGAGUCGAGUAGUUUGGGAAUGCUGCUCUAAAUGGGAGGUAUAUGUCUUCUAAAGCUAAAUACCGGCCAGAGACCGAUAGCGCACAAGUAGAGUGAUCGAAAGAUGAAAAGCACUUUGAAAAGAGAGUUAAAAAGUACGUGAAAUUGUUGAAAGGGAAGCGUUUAUGACCAGACUUGGGCUUGGUUAAUCAUCUGGGGUUCUCCCCAGUGCACUUUUCCAGUCCAGGCCAGCAUCAGUUUUCCCCGGGGGAUAAAGGCGGCGGGAAUGUGGCUCUCUUCGGGGAGUGUUAUAGCCCACCGUGUAAUACCCUGGGGGGGACUGAGGUUCGCGCAUCUGCAAGGAUGCUGGCGUAAUGGUCAUCAACGACCCGUCUUGAAACACGGACCAAGGAGUCGUCUUCGUAUGCGAGUGUUCGGGUGUCAAACCCCUACGCGUAAUGAAAGUGAACGCAGGUGAGAGCUUCGGCGCAUCAUCGACCGAUCCUGAUGUUCUCGGAUGGAUUUGAGUAAGAGCAUACGGGGCCGGACCCGAAAGAAGGUGAACUAUGCCUGUAUAGGGUGAAGCCAGAGGAAACUCUGGUGGAGGCUCGCAGCGGUUCUGACGUGCAAAUCGAUCGUCAAAUAUGGGCAUGGGGGCGAAAGACUAAUCGAACCUUCUAGUAGUGGGUUUCCGC
rnacentral:rRNA from 1 species